rnacentral:rRNA from 1 species
UACGUAGGGGGCAAGCGUUGUCCGGAUUUAUUGGGCGUAAAGAGCGUGUAGGCGGUUAGGUAGGUCCGUUGUGAAAACUCGAGGCUCAACCUCGAGACGCCGAUGGAAACCAUCUGACUAGAGUCCGGAAGAGGAGAGUGGAAUUCCUGGUGUAGCGGUGAAAUGCGCAGAUAUCAGGAGGAACACCUAUAGCGAAGGCAGCUCGCUGGGACGACACUGACGCUGAGACGCGAAAGCGUGGGGAGCAAACAGG